GCCAGAAUGGUGUAAUGGUUUAGGCAUUGGACUAUGACUUAGGAGACAAGGGUUCAAAUCCCUGCUUUGCUA